rnacentral:rRNA from 1 species
UACAGAGGGUGCGAACGUUGCUCGGAAUUACUGGGCGUAAAGCGCGUGUAGACGGGGUCGCAAGUCAGAUGUGAAAGCCCCGGGCUCAACCCGGGAACUGCAUCUGAAACUGCGAUCCUUGAGUGUCGGAGAGGGUAGCGGAAUUCCUGGUGUAGAGGUGAAAUUCGUAGAUAUCAGGAGGAACACCGGUGGCGAAGGCGGCUACCUGGACGACAACUGACGCUGAGACGCGAAAGCGUGGGGAGCAAACAGG